rnacentral:rRNA from 1 species
UACGGAGGGUGCAAGCGUUGUUCGGAUUUAUUGGGCGUAAAGGGCGCGUAGGCUGUCCUGUAAGUCAGGCGUGAAAUCCCCGGGCUCAACCUGGGAAUUGCGUUUGAUACUGCGGCGCUGGAAUGCAGGAGAGGAUGGCGGAAUUCCCAGUGUAGAGGUGAAAUUCGUAGAUAUUGGGAAGAACGCCGGUGGCGAAGGCGGCCAUCUGGCCUGUAAUUGACGCUGAGGCGCGAAAGCGUGGGGAGCAAACAGG